AUAUACUUUCACUUUCAUAGCACGCAUGCGUUGUCCAUGUGGAUGCUACUCUUUCAGAAUUUUCACUUUCAUUUGAUUCAUUUCGUGGAGCAGGUCACGUUCCUGUCGUUUGCAUACUUUGUGGCGUCUCUCUCUCCCUCUCUCUCUUUCUUUUUCUUUUUUGUUGACUUUGAAAAAUUCGCAAAGUAUUUUUAGGAGAGACGGGGUAGCAACCCCCUAAAGAUUUAAUGCGUCUCGUUGGCGCAUUUCCCCAUCGCGCUAAUGUUGUUCCGAGUGUUCUGAGUGCAAAACCGCAUGGGAAAUUGCUGUUCAAUUGCAUGCGCCCAAGGUCAUUUCUCUAAUGAAGUACUCUUCAUUACACUGAUGGGCACAACAACAGCAGCAACAGCAGUAACUAAGCCGCAACAAUAUUUCACUAUUGAACGGUUAACAGCCCUCUGUUAAGUGACAGCGGCAGCAUCAGACAUCAGAAUGUUAUGAUGUCUUUUACUCUCCCACGCGACUCUCUGGCGCUCUCUCGCAGCUUAUGUUGCUCUCUAUCACUUGUUUACACAUUGCACGUGCAUAUUUGUCUUCUUUUUCAUUUCAUUCUCGGUCGCAGUCUGUGUUCGCAUUUUUAGGCAAACGGUUGUGUUUGUCGGCUACUACGACGACGGUUUUCAAAGCGAUAGAGAGCAAAAAAGCACAACAAAGCUUUGACAAGUGCAAGUGCAAGCAACAACAACAAUAACGGCAACUUAUGUGCUUUUCGUUUUACAGUACUACAAGGAUUAUGUGACUUUAGCAAAGAGAAACCCCAAAGCAAGGGCAAGAAAGAGAGUGAAAA